rnacentral:rRNA from 1 species
AUUGAACGCUGGCGGCAGGCCUAACACAUGCAAGUCGAGCGAGCGGCGGACGGGUGAGUAAUGUCUGGGAAACUGCCUGAUGGAGGGGGAUAACUACUGGAAACGGUAGCUAAUACCGCAUACCAUCAGAUGUGCCCAGAUGGGAUUAGCUAGUAGGUGGGGGAACGGCUCACCUAGGCGACGAUCCCUAGCAGGUGUGAGAGGAUGACCAGCCACACUGGAAAUGAGAAAAGGUCCAGACUCGUACGGGAGGCAGCAGUGGGGAAUAUUGCACAAUGGGCGCAAGCCGGAUGCAGCCAUGCCGCGUGUGUGAAGAAGGCCUUCGGGUUGUAAAGCACUUUCAGCGGGGAGGCGUUACCCGCAGAAGAAGCACCGGCUAACUCCGUGCCAGCAGCCGCGGUAAUAC